AAAGAUUUAUCGGCAAGGGAUGAGCCCGCGUAGGAUUAGGUAGUUGGUGGGGUAAAGGCCUACCAAGCCGACGAUCCUUAGCUGGUCUGAGAGGAUGAUCAGCCACACUGGGACUGAGACACGGCCCAGACUCCUACGGGAGGCAGCAGUGGGGAAUAUUGCGCAAUGGGCGGAAGCCUGACGCAGCGACUCCGCGUGGGGGAUGACGGCCUUCGGGUUGUAAACCUCUUUCAGCAGGGACGAAGCGCAAGUGACGGUACCUGCAGAAGAAGCACCGGCCAACUACGUGCCAGCAGCCGCGGUAAUACGUGGGGUGCAAGCGUUGUCCGGAAUUAUUGGGCGUAAAGAGCUCGUAGGCGGUCUGUCGCGUCGGCUGUAAAAACCCGGAGCUCAACUCCGGGCCUGCAGUCGAUACGGGCAGACUGGAGUUCGGCAGGGGAGACUGGAAUUCCUGGUGUAGCGGUGAAAUGCGCAGAUAUCAGGAGGAACACCGGUGGCGAAGGCGGGUUUCUGGGCCGAUACUGACGCUGAGGAGCGAAAGCGUGGGGAGCGAACAGGAUUAGAUACCCUGGUAGUCCACGCCGUAAACGUUGGGCGCUAGGUGUGGGGGCCAUUCCACGGUCUCCGUGCCGCAGCUAACGCAUUAAGCGCCCCGCCUGGGGAGUACGGCC
rnacentral:rRNA from 1 species